CAUAACUUUAUUGUCUGAACUUACAACGGAUCGUGGAACAGUUUGAUAUGACCAGGAGUUUGAGCAGAAGGGGAAAAGCAGGAAAAAAGCAUGAGUGUAUAUUGCAGCAGAGACGUGGAGAAGAGAAAAGAAGAGCCAAAGAAAAGAGCAAUACAAAAGAAACAAUAAAUCCCUAUCAUAAACACAGAGAUGGGAGCAGUGAGCUAAUUGUGGCUCAAAUAAGCGAAUAGGCCAACUCUCCCAGUUGAAGUGUUUCCUGGGUAACUUCAUUGUCAGCCAGCCCUGUAUGGCCCAGGGGUGGGGUGGAGUGGGAAUGGAAAUGGGCAGAAACAGACACUAAAUUCUCCCACUUCCAUUUAAACCAAGAAGGGCUUUAUUAUCCUACACAGGAGAAUCAGACUUUGCACAUUCUUUGGUACUUUAUAUUAGACAGAGAAAUUUGAUUAAAGUCAGUUCUUCAAAGAACCAGCUGCACAACUUGUCUAUCACUAAUUAGCAAGUUAAAGAGCAAGAACUAUUAUUGCUUCUUUGUUUGUGAGCUAAUUCUCUAAAGCAACGUCUGUACUUAAGAAUCCUAAGGCCUCCAUAUGACCCAGCAAUUCCACCCCAAGUUAUAUAACCAAGACAAAUAAAAACAUACGUCUACACAGGAACUUGUACUGAUACUUGAUACAAUAUGGACGUAUCUUGGAAACAUUAUGCUAAGUGAAAGAAGCCAGUCACAAAGACUACAUAAGGCCAAAGGAAUUCAACAAUAAAACAAGGAGGCCUCGCCUACGAGAUGCUUACAGUACAUUCGCCAGGUCUCAGGAGAACAUGUCCCUCAAGGAAAUACACUCAAUCUCCAUCUCUGGGAAUGCUGGAGGGCAUGCUCUCAUAGCUUGAGAGGCCAAGAGAUGAGCUGAGAGACCAUCAGAGCUGCCAUCCUCACCACACUAUCUACCACAGCAUUCCCUAAAGAGCCCAGUUUCCUACUUCCCACGAUCCCUGUGCUUGUGAGAAGGAGAGUCAGAAAGUGCAAGGGCUCCUCCAUCAGCUGCUCCAGCAUCUCACCUCACCUGUCUGGUUCUGAGUCCCAAAGGCUACUAGUGAGACAGAGUUGGGUACUGAGGGACCCACAGGCAGGAAACAACCAGGAAAAUUAUCAAAAAAUCAUGGUCCACUCUGGAAACAAACUGUGAUGCUCAAGGGUAGGCUGUGGAGGAGGUGAGAGAACAGGGAGACUGCAACUCCACUCUCCCCACCACUGCUCUCAGCAUGAGGCAGCUAAAUUUCAUGGAAAGCUCCCCAUCCACAUGAGAGCCCAGCUGGGCCUGAGAGGAACUACAGGGCAACUGCUCCUCUCCCAGGGUGCGUUCCCCAUUGAGCACCAAACCACACUGUGUUCCCUUGUUCUCCCCUGUCUCUGUCCCAUGCAGGUGGUAAGACACCCAGGGCACAGGCGGAAAAGUGAAACCCACCCCUGUGAGAGAGUGGGUGGGGAGAGGGAAUAUAAGGGAGAGAAGCAAAUGAAGGGGGAAAGGAAAAUGUGAAUAAAAGAUACUAUCUCAAAUGCCCCCCCAGCAUUAACAUCAGCAUGAUUUCCCCAAUUCUCAGAAUGGAAUACACCCCUCCAAUUGCCCAGAUAAAGAAAGUAGCAAUAGAUUAUAUUGUCAACUUCACAGACGGACAAGACUCAAACUGCAAGUGACUGGAGAAGCCAAGAUUCUGUUGCCUUCCAGAACCCAGACACCCAGCCCCAACUCAGUACUUCUCGAAUAUCGGAGUUUGAGAAAUUCUGCUUUCAGUUGGUCCAAGGUGAGACUUAUUGAUCUCAAUUUUUAACAAACAUCCCAUAGAAUUCUGAUACAGAUGGUCUGAGGACCACUCUAUGAGAAUUCCUACCAUAUCACUUUCCAACUGGACUGCUGAGAGGUUAAGAGCACCUGCUAUGGAGUCCUCCAGGCAGCCUGGCUGCAAAUUCUGGCUCUAACGCACUAGCUGCAAGGCCCUAGGUGAAUGACUACACCUUAGCCCCCUCAUCUGCAACCUAGGACUAAUAAAAGCACCCACCACAUGUGCUGCUGUGAGGACCAAAUGAGAUAACAUAGUUAUUUAAAGUGUUUAGCACACUACCUGGCACGUAGUAAGCACACAGUAUUUGUUGGCUAUAACUUGGUCUGUUACUACACACUUAGUUGCACUAGUUGUCAGUUGUGUGAUAAAUAGUAAGCACACCAUGCUGUUUGGCCAUUAUAUUUUUAUGAUGCUAUGUGUACAUAUAAAACUCAUUACUCCCAAGAAAUUGACAGGUCAAGUAACUUUUAAGCUACAGGGAGCCUUCCAAGGAGAUUUUUAGACCUAGGAUCCUAGCUGUUAGCUUAAUCCUUCUAAGUUACUUCUUCUUUGCCCUCCUAGUCUCACCCUUUCCCUUGGACAUGGCGUUUUCAACAAAACUUUAAAGUUACAUUGUGCUUUUAUGUUUUACAAUGAGUGUUAAAGUGUUUUAUAAAAUGUUUUGAUGGCCUACUCUUCUCUUUUAAUUUCUCCAUAAGUCCUUCCUUCCCUUUAGGCAAUUUAUACGUGACCCCCAGGCUAAGAAUAUCUAUCUCUGCCAAAACCCUGAAAAGUCAGUCUGAUCAAGAGAGGCAAGGUUGAAGAACAGUAGAAUGCAGCCCUGUGGCUUGUGACAAGGACACCAGGCUGAGUGGUACCCCACAGGCUCAGACUCUGGGCUCACUCCUCUUCUCCAUCUCAGCCUCCACCACUCACUCGCACCAGCCCAAGCCUUCUUCUAGAGCUUCUUCCCAAUGCCCAUACACUAUUCCCACCUGGAGAGUCCACAGCCAUCAUAUCUAAACAUAUCCCAAGCUGAGUUUAGCAUCUCAGUCCCUAGCCAACCAAUCUCUCAUCCUUAUCUCAGGGCUAAUGACGUCUGAUCCACCCGAAAACCCAAACUAAAGACAGCUCCAAAUCAUCUUCUAGCCUCCUCUUCACCACCCCCUCCUCUCUGGUCACUCACCAAGGCCUGCCAAUUUUUCAAGUGGCUCUCCCGUCCCCUGUUCUCCAUGCCUUCUGACCUCCCAGUUCAGAUCUCAGACUCUCAUGUGGACUCUCCACAGACACAGUUUUCCCAACAAAUCAGCUGCCAGGGUGUGUGUCCCAAAACACAGAUCUGACCAGGUCACUUCCCACUUAAAGCCUUGGGCAGAUCCCCACUCAUGAGAGUCCAGACUCCUCAGGCUGGUCAUCAAGACUUUCCCAAUUUGGCAAGACCACACCCCUCCUGCUACCAAAGAGGGCCCCAAAAUAACACCAGGCCAAAUAUAUCCACCUAAUCUACUGUAGCCUAAAUGCUCAGCCAACUGGGUACGUGACACCUCGUAGUUGGUCCCCUCUUGUGAAGACAUUAGUCAAAUUUAUUGUAUGUGACGAUGGAUCCUUGGGCCCUGAAGGGAUGAUACAGAUUUCCAAUGAGGAAGAGGAAAGACAAUGCAUGGCUAAGGCAUUCAAGCUGUAGGGCUUGAGUUCAUCUAUCAAAACUCCUCCUUGUGCAGCAGGCAAAGCUAAGGCCCAGAAAAAUAAAUCCACCUAUUAAAGGUCAAAGCUUCAGAACCAGCACAAGGACCCAGGUGUCCUGGCCCACAAUUCUGCUUCUUCUGCCAACAGGCCUAGAAGACUCUACCAAGCACAACUGUCUGAGAUUCCCACAACCUUUCCCUUUCCCUGAUCACAACUCAAGACCCCCUACCCCACCCACAAACCUGCAGAUUCAAAGGUUACCUGGAAGGAAAAAAAAAGGAAAGCUCAAGCUUUGGCACAAGUUCAGGGUGAAAAUCCUGGGGCCAAACACAAGGAACUUUGAUGAUAAUAAAAAAUAGGCCCAUUGUCCUGGUGGGUAGAACCAAACCAUAUCAGGAGCAAGGAAACCAGCUUUGUGCCUAGAGAUGAGGACUUGGUCCUAAACUCUCAGGAUGGAGAUGGGGAAAGGAGAAAGGAACACAUACAUUAAGAAAUCGAGGCCAUUAUGACAGUUCCUACUCAUCCCUCGUUAUUGUGUUUUGUUGUUAUUGGUUUUUUUUCUUCACAUAGUGUUCUUCAUGGCCUCUGAGUGCUCCAGGAUCAAGGAGGACCAGAAAAAGUCCUGGCUCCCAAGAGGGUGUGGGAAUCAAGAUAAGAUUUAGGUGACUCCAUUAUGAGGUGACUGGUAGAGAAAGGAGCCACUCUAUCCUUCCCCUAGUUGCUCGUGAAAGAAAAAAGAAAAAACUCAGAGCUACACAUCCAUCCCUCAACAAAGGAAACAAACUCUCCUGCAAAAUACAGGGGACUGAUUUGGGCACUGGGGCCCUGUCCACCUCAGUGCUGCAAGAAACAAGAGGAGGGGAAAACCCUGAGUAUUAAACAACAAAUAUUUCGUGACGAGUACAUUCUCCUCAGCUACCAAGUCCAAAGCUACUUGAUAUAUUUCUGAGUUGCCAGAAUGUCUUGGUUCACCUCAUAAAAAGUCUCUGACUAUAUUCCUUGACGCCCAGAGAUUCAUUCCUUUGGGUGUGAUCCAUUGAAGUGAUGGAUCAUUUAGACUGAAGGACAAAGUCUCAUGUUUACCCUCAGGAAAUAGUCCAUCGUUAUUCCUUUCCUACCCUUGCACAAGCUGUUCCACUACCUGUACCAUCUUUCCUUCUCCUGCCCUUGCCCUUAGAAAAUUUAAAUUGUGUGCCCUCCUAGAGAUCUCGAAGGGGCUCCUUUUGGGGCCCAGGGCAGCCACCUCAAAACAUCCCACGGUGGCAUGUUGAUUAUUUUGAAUUAAAGUUACCUGUUUAUAUAAAAAUUGCACCCUCCUCUCUCAGUUCCCCUUAAAGGAAGAAAAUAAAUCUCCCAUGUGAAGGAUGCUCCCCAUGUUCCUGGAGAUAAAUAUAUCCUUCUUACGAGAACUAGCCAAUUCGGGCCAGAAAGCCUGUGUAAAUAAAUCCCAUUGCUUUUGCUAAUUUACUACCUCAAGCCACAAAUCUGCUCAAAUCCUCACUAAUUAUGUACCCUAAAACUGUUUCUUUUUCUUGUCAAAUCUUCACAAAUGUUUUGUGUCUUUAUGUAAAAAUAUAUAUAAACCACCUACUUUGUUCACUCUGUGAGAAUCAUUUUUUCUAUGAUCUCCCACACAAGUGUAUUAAAUUGUUUUUUCUCCUGUUA